GAUUAACGCUAGCGGCAGGCCUAAUACAUGCAAGUCGCACGGGAUUUCGGGUAGCAAUAUCUUGAUGAGAGUGGCGCACGGGUGCGUAACACGUAUGCAAAUCUACCUUUAACUGGGGAAUAGCUCACCGAAAGGUGAAUUAAUACCGCAUAAAAUCACAGAAGGACAUCCUUCAAUGAUUAAACCUACGGGGGUUAAAGAUGAGCAUGCGUCCGAUUAGCUAAGUUGGCGGGGUAAUAGCCCACCAAGGCAACCGAUCGGUAGGGGUCUGAGAGGAUGAUCCCCCACACUGGUACUGAGAUACGGACC
rnacentral:rRNA from 1 species